rnacentral:rRNA from 2 species
AGAGUUUGAUCCUGGCUCAGGAUGAACGCUAGCUACAGGCUUAACACAUGCAAGUCGAGGGGCAGCAUGGUCUUAGCUUGCUAAGGCCGAUGGCGACCGGCGCACGGGUGAGUAACACGUAUCCAACCUGCCGUCUACUCUUGGACAGCCUUCUGAAAGGAAGAUUAAUACAAGAUGGCAUCAUGAGUCCGCAUGUUCACAUGAUUAAAGGUAUUCCGGUAGACGAUGGGGAUGCGUUCCAUUAGAUAGUAGGCGGGGUAACGGCCCACCUAGUCUUCGAUGGAUAGGGGUUCUGAGAGGAAGGUCCCCCACAUUGGAACUGAGACACGGUCCAAACUCCUACGGGAGGCAGCAGUGAGGAAUAUUGGUCAAUGGGCGAGAGCCUGAACCAGCCAAGUAGCGUGAAGGAUGACUGCCCUAUGGGUUGUAAACUUCUUUUAUAAAGGAAUAAAGUCGGGUAUGGAUACCCGUUUGCAUGUACUUUAUGAAUAAGGAUCGGCUAACUCCGUGCCAGCAGCCGCGGUAAUACGGAGGAUCCGAGCGUUAUCCGGAUUUAUUGGGUUUAAAGGGAGCGUAGAUGGAUGUUUAAGUCAGUUGUGAAAGUUUGCGGCUCAACCGUAAAAUUGCAGUUGAUACUGGAUAUCUUGAGUGCAGUUGAGGCAGGCGGAAUUCGUGGUGUAGCGGUGAAAUGCUUAGAUAUCACGAAGAACUCCGAUUGCGAAGGCAGCCUGCUAAGCUGCAACUGACAUUGAGGCUCGAAAGUGUGGGUAUCAAACAGGAUUAGAUACCCUGGUAGUCCACACGGUAAACGAUGAAUACUCGCUGUUUGCGAUAUACGGCAAGCGGCCAAGCGAAAGCGUUAAGUAUUCCACCUGGGGAGUACGCCGGCAACGGUGAAACUCAAAGGAAUUGACGGGGGCCCGCACAAGCGGAGGAACAUGUGGUUUAAUUCGAUGAUACGCGAGGAACCUUACCCGGGCUUAAAUUGCAGAUGAAUUACGGUGAAAGCCGUAAGCCGCAAGGCAUCUGUGAAGGUGCUGCAUGGUUGUCGUCAGCUCGUGCCGUGAGGUGUCGGCUUAAGUGCCAUAACGAGCGCAACCCUUGUUGUCAGUUACUAACAGGUCAUGCUGAGGACUCUGACAAGACUGCCAUCGUAAGAUGUGAGGAAGGUGGGGAUGACGUCAAAUCAGCACGGCCCUUACGUCCGGGGCUACACACGUGUUACAAUGGGGGGUACAGAGGGCCGCUACCACGCGAGUGGAUGCCAAUCCCCAAAACCUCUCUCAGUUCGGACUGGAGUCUGCAACCCGACUCCACGAAGCUGGAUUCGCUAGUAAUCGCGCAUCAGCCACGGCGCGGUGAAUACGUUCCCGGGCCUUGUACACACCGCCCGUCAAGCCAUGGGAGCCGGGGGUACCUGAAGUGCGUAACCGCGAGGAGCGCCCUAGGGUAAAACUGGUGACUGGGGCUAAGUCGUAACAAGGUAGCCGUACCGGAAGGUGCGGCUG